AUGGACGUGGCCGAGUGGUUAAGGCAAUAGACUAGAAAUCUUUUGGGAUCUUCCCGCGCAGGUUCAGAUCCUUCCGACAACG
rnacentral:tRNA from 1 species